UAUUCAAAAAUUAUAUUAUAAUAAUAUUUUAUUCAUUACUAUUUAAAAUAUCUCAUUUCAUCUUAUUUGUGUAACCAAACGGGUUUAUCCUAAAAUUUGCUGGAGUAGCAGCUAGCUUCAGAAAUGUUUUUAUGGCAGAUUGAUUUAUCUCUCUUCUAAUCUUAAAGGAAACUAGUCAAAGGCCCAUAAGGGGUUCUGCUUUUAUUUUUUUCCCCUUAAAAAAGUCUAAAAUCUUAGGAAUGGAAGUUGGGAAAGACUUUCUUGUUGCAAUUGGAGGAUUUGUUUUCCCAUAAUUUUGCUUCUGACUUGGUAGAAAUGUCCAGUUAAAGAAUCGUAAUUUUCCUUAUACUGUUUCUGAUAGAGUUGGUGUGAAAUGGUCAAAUUGGUUAGGAUUCAUAAUCUUCUAUAUAUACAUGAUCUUUAAGACCAAUAGUCCCAACUCCCAACACCAAAAAUGUCAAAUUUAAGGAGAAAGCAGCCACGCCACAAUCAGCUGCUCUUUGACAAUGUAAAAUGAGAGAGGACAGGUAUCCUAUAAAAUGCCAGUUUGGUGUUUGAUUCUGUAACCAGGUCUAGAGACUGAUGCGGAUUCUCCAGCCAAGCAAUAUAUGCCAAUGUCCGAAGAGCAAAGGACAGCUUUCUCCUUCAAACUAUGUUGAACCAGUCAUUAAUUCAAAGCACGAUCGAUUGGAUAAAUAAAUGCAGAACUUGCUUCUCUGGUUUCCUGGCCACCAACAACAAAGUACUGUCCAACAAUAUAGUUUAAAAACAAAUGUUUCUUCUGACAUUUCAGUGUUCUUUCUCAAUCUCUGUGCUGGCUGGUUGUGUAAGUUGUAAGUGUUUCAGUCAAGUAAAUUAUUGAGGUUGUUCCAGGUGCAUGCAUGAAACAAAUCCAUGCAGCAUGAUGCCUAAAA